GCACGCCUGUCGGGACCCGAAAGAUGGUGAACUAUGCCUGAGCGGGGCGAAGCCAGAGGAAACUCUGGUGGAGGCUCGAAGCGAUACUGACGUGCAAAUCGUUCGUCUGACCACGGUAUAGGGGCGAAAGACUAAUCGAACCAUCUAGUAGCUGGUUCCCUCCGAAGUUUCCCUCAGGAUAGCUGGAGCCCAUUACGAGUUCUAUCAGGUAAAGCCAAUGAUUAGAGGCAUUGGGGACGC
rnacentral:ncRNA from 1 species